rnacentral:tRNA from 1 species
GCCUGGGUGGCUCAGUCGGCUGAGCAUCUGACUUCAGCUUAGGUCGUAUUUUGUGGUCUGUGAGUUCGAGCCCCAUGUCAGGCU